AGGAGGAAAACCACAGUGGUGGCGGCCAGCUCUGGAGCCCUGGAUUCAGCUCCAGCAGGAACUCCGGGGCUCUCCACCUGCAGGGCCUGGAGGCUCCGGGGCGGG
rnacentral:pre_miRNA from 1 species